UACGAAGGGGGCUAGCGUUGUUCGGAAUCACUGGGCGUAAAGCGCACGUAGGCGGAUCUUUAAGUCAGGGGUGAAAUCCCGAGGCUCAACCUCGGAACUGCCUUUGAUACUGGAGGUCUCGAGUCCGGGAGAGGUGAGUGGAACUGCGAGUGUAGAGGUGAAAUUCGUAGAUAUUCGCAAGAACACCAGUGGCGAAGGCGGCUCACUGGCCCGGAACUGACGCUGAGGUGCGAAAGCGUGGGGAGCAAAC
rnacentral:rRNA from 1 species